rnacentral:lncRNA from 1 species
AAUGAAUAAAAUAAAGGUCUGUUAACUACAAAUAUUAAUAUUUUUUAAAAAACAGGUAUUCUGACUUGGGAAAACAAUGCAAACCUUCUAUAAGUACUAGGUAUUGGACCCAGGGGCACUUAGCUACUGAGCCACAUUCCCAGCCCUUUUUAUUUUGAGACAGGGUCUCACUACAUUGCUGAGGCUGGUCUUGAAUUUAUGAUCUGCCUGCCUCAGCCUCCCAAGUUGCUGGGAUUACAGGCGUGUGUCACCAUGCCCAGCUGCUGUAAUUAUUGAUAAAGGAAACAGCUGGCUGGCACUGGGGGAGAAUGAAUAACUUUCAGGAACUAAGUUGCUUUGGGAGACAAAGAUCAGAAACCAAACUUAGUUUCUUCAAUUCCUUGUAGGGUUAGAAUAGAAUAACAAUACACUCAUAGCAUCCAGUUUGACUUUUUUCUGUCCCAUCAUGUGAAUUUCAUCUGUCCCUUGUAGUCUAGAAGCCCGAAGAACAAGCCAUCUGAAUGUGAUGGUAGAAAAGACAGUUAAAGCUGCCAAUAGGGAAUCAUCCAUUUUCCCUACACUCCAAACACUUACUAUAGUGUUAUGCACCCUGUGGGUGCUCACUACAAACCUGGAACAAAUAGAAGGUACUGCUGUGGUCCCAAAUACCACUUUGUGUCAUCUACCCUUUACCCUCAUGGCAGGGUAGAUGGGAACAACUGUGAUCAAUGGAGCUACCAAUCUACCACGCUUACACACAUUCAGCUGUAUACAAUUAAAAGCAACUCUUCAAACAAGUGUCAUUACUCAUCUUUAUAACCCAAUAGUAUUGCAUUAAUUGCCCUUAAGUUCAUAGUAGUAUGAAUGAGCCCUGUAAGGUACAAGUUAAACAGACCCUAUCUUUAUCCUCACAACGGAAAACAAAUAACAUUCACAUGGACAAAUAAGUAUAUAGUUGCUGCAGACAAAGAAAUCUAGAAAGCUAGGUAGUAAAACUACAUAAAUGUUAAGGUCUAAUGUAUUAGUGUUUGCUACAAGAAAAAUCUGAGGUAUUUUCUUCAGGAAGCAGAAAGUAUUCAAAAGAGGGGAGGAUGUUGAGAGCCACAGCCGAAGGGGCCCCAGCAAACUUCCAGCUGCCACCUGAUGAUUGGCUCACAGCGGCCCAGCAACAUCUAGCUGAUUGGCUCCUCUGCGGUGAUGCUCAUUGGGCUGUUUCCCUGCCCUUUCAGACCACGGAGCUGCUCAUUGGGGGACUUUUUUGGCUCCGCCCACGUGACCCAGCCAAUCCGCCUCAAGAGCAGGAGGAUUGUGGGAGGUGGGGAGAAGCUUGGGUGGGAGAGAGAGGCUUGUGGAAAGCCUGUGGUGGCAGUUGAGGCUCUGAGGGUUUUUCCUGAGAGGCUGUUUUGUUUGGCGUGUGUGGUUCUAAAAAUAAAGUUAGUUUCUUUUGACAAGUGGCUCCUGAUUGUGCCCAGCCAGACUGCGGCAGGAGGAUACUGGGUAAAUUAGGGUGGUAUGAACAGUGGGAAAAUGGUGGAGCAAAGAGCAAAAGACAGAACAUAAGGAAGGUUAGAUAAAGCUUGGAGCAGCAAAAACUUUACAGAUAGUAUGACAUGGCUCUGCAACAGGCAGAGUAUUGAGAGCCGCAGCAGAAACGGCCACAACAAACUUCCAGCUGAUUGGCUCCUCUGCGGUGAUGCUCAUUGGGCUGUUUCCCUGCCCUUUCAAACCACGGAGAUGCUCAUUGGGGGACUCUUUUGGCUCCGCCCACGCGACUCAGCAAAUCCGCCUCAAGAGCGGGACCUAGGAGUCCCGUUGAGGUGCUGGCAGGAAGUGCUCUGGGGGAAUUCCUGGAGAGCUCCCAUGUGGUAAGGCGUGGGUGCUAAAAAUAAACUUCGUUCUUGGUGAAUUGUGCCCAGCCAGACUGCUGCACAGAGAAUCACCCUGACUGAAACAUGGAGUGCCAGAGGUAGACCAUAAGGUGGUCCACUCAUUAUGUGCAGCAAACCAAACCAGGUACUCGGCUGUGAUUUUUUUUUUUUUGGGGGGGGGUACCAGUUAUUGAACCCAGGGGCACUUAGCCACUGAGCCACAUUCCUAGCCCUUUUUUUAUUUUAGUCUAAGUUGCUUAGGGCCUCACUACGUUGCUGAGGCUGGUCUUGAAUUUAUGAUCCUCCUGCCUCAGCCUCCCAAGUUGCUGGGAUUACAGGCAUGGGUCACCAUACCCAACUGCUAUAAUCAUUGACAAGGAAACAGAUGGCUGGCACUGGGGGAGAAUGAACAACUUUCAGGGACUAAGCUGCUUUGGGAGACAAAGGUCAGAAACCAGUAUUUGCUGAAGACACUUUGAUGAGCAGAUCACAGGAAAGAUGACACUGGCCAGAUGGCCAAGACCUGGGGUAAAUAACUAUUUUUUAACAUUCAUGUUUAAUUGGAACCCUUUGAAUGGAUUGAGAUCUGGGAGAUCAGUAGGAAGACAGAAUAUUCUUUAAUUCAUAUCUUAUUGUGUUAGAGUUUAUAAUUAGAGCUCUAGUGUUUAAGAAUCCUAGUACAAAGAACAGCCUACAUUCAUUGCCAAUUAAAAUAAAAGAACAAGAAACACCAGUCUAAAGACGUGCCUCUGAAUCUGAGAUGGUUUAAGAAGUGUGCUGUAACGUCAAGAAAAGAGAUUUUUCUUUAGUAUAUGUAUAAUCUCGUGAAAAAAAGCAUUGGUUUGGGUAUUAUUGGAUACAAAUUCUGGUUCCAGAUGUCUUAUAAGUUAACUGUUCCCUC